AAUAGCACAACACUUAAUUAUAUGAAAUAAAUAGUUUCUAAAUUAAACAAAAUAGUCAAUAUAGGUUAUAUAUUUUUGUUUGGCUCACGGGUCAUGCCAAAUAGUUUGCAUCUGGGGUUUCUUGUUUGGAAAGUGUAUUUCAAAAUUCGAUAGAAGUUCAUUUCAACAUAAUUUGAGUUAGAUUAAAUCCUAAACACCAUUUGGACCGGCUCACUCUUUGUUUCUUCCUUCCUCUUCUUUUCUUUUUGCUUUUCGGAACUGAAACCGAACCAUUCAUUCUCUCCAACAGGACCGAGCUCAGAUUCAGCACAAACCGCCAGCCCGACAAGCUCCUUCUUCUCUCUUGCUCGGCACGGCAACAACCUGCAUGGAACCACUGCCCUCGCCGCAAACAGCAAGCAUCAGGUGGAUCCCGAACAUCUCUAGUGGUAUCAUCUAGGUUUCUGAACUCUCAAAAUGCAUUAUUGGAUUCUGAACUUAUCUUAGGGCGAUGUCAUCAUCUAGGUUCCCAAACUCUCAAAAUGUAUUUGAAGUCCCUGAACUUUUCUCAGGGUGUUAUCCAAGUCCCCAAUAAAGUCUCAAACUGCAUUUUCGGUCCGAAAUCUUGUCAGGUGCUAAGCAUGAGAGGAUGGUGGAGCAGGAGGCUAGUGACGAUGGUGUAGGAGUUGGAGGAUGACUAGGGGCUAAGAUCUGGCUGGUGCAUAGGCUCAGGCAUGGGUCUUGCAACCAGAAGGUGAGGUUUGUUGCAGUGUCGCCGAUGCUUGAUUGCUGGAGCUAGGACACAGUAGCCUGGGCAGGAGAGAAAACAUCACGGUGGCAGGAAGGGGCGAGAUCUAUCAUGAGAACUAGGAGUCCUAAUCUUUCCCUCCGUUUGGUUUAGUAAUGACGUUAUGAGUUUAAGGAUCUAAAAAGGUAUUUAGAGAGUUUAACGGCUCCGGAUGACAUUUCGGGACAAAUGUGGAAUCUAGAAAUUUAUUUUAAGAAUUUAGAUAUCUAGAUGGUACCUUGGGAUAAGUUUAGCACUUAAAAUAUAUUUUGAGUGUUUAGAGACCUAAAUAACACAAUAACAGUAAGACAGGUUCAGGAACCACCCAUGCAUUUUGCCAACCUCACUAAUAGCUCAUAUGUUAGAGUCUUAAUUAGACCACCCUUACAGAAAUUCUCGGACUUCGCGCAACUACUUUACGUAGGAGCAGCUCUAAGUAUAAUAUAGUAAAACCAUAAAUGACGAUACAUAGGAACAACAAAAUGAAAUUAGUCACAAGCUUAGUGAUAACUUUAUCCUGCACGCACUGAGUGAAUCAUGGCAGAAAAAAGUCAUUAGAGAGAUGCUCCCUCUGCCUGAAAUCUAAGAUAUUGUGGUUAGCAUAAGUUUGAUCAAAUUUAUAGAAAAAAAGAUCUCAUCCUAGGCAUACCGACGUAUAACAGCGCCCCAUUCAUGCACGCCACCAGCAUACAUCACAUCACAUUUUAUUGGUUAGUUAUACGCCGGUGUGCCUGCUCGAUGAGAUCCUUUUUUCUAUAAAUUUGGUCAAACGUAGGCUAACCAAAGUCUACAGCACGUACAACUGCCACAAAGUCUACAGCGUUCCACGUGCUCCAUCGACCGAUCGAUGAUUCAAAGUAUCUUAGUAUCACGCAUGGCGGUUUGAUGCAUGCGAUACAUGUACAGCGUACUAGUGCUAUUCUGUCAAGAGUUAGGCGCUAGGUCCAUGACUCCAGCGGCCAAUCCAGUCUCCAGGCGAUCACGGCCCCAUGCCCAGCCCAGGCCAGCCUUGCACUAGGUUUUGUUGCAAGUUGCAAGUAGUCUCCAGGUCCACAAACUGGAAAUGCUAGCAGGUAGUCGUAAGCAUGAAACACUAGCGUGCAGGGUAUAGCCAGGAACUCAUUUUUUUUUUCAUUGUUAGGGGAACCAGCAAUAGUAUUUUUUUUGAAUUUGGUUCAAUUCAAAAAAUUUCAGUGGAAAAUCGGAAACCAUAGGGAAUCCAAGCCCCUGCCCCCCUCCCUCCACCACUGAAAACUUGUGCAUCGUCGUCGUUUUAAUUUGGAGCCGAUGGAGAGAUCAGAUAUCAAGGAGGACACGCUCCAUGGGUGGAAACUUUGGCUUCAUCGGUGUACGAUAACCCCGGAGAGACACUUGCAACCUGACUGGCUUGCGUGCACACGCUGCUAGGCGGCUACGCUAGGCCAAUGCAGACACUAGCUUCUGCCGAGCGAUCACCCUGCAUGCCCGCUGGCCUAUAAAUACCAGGUAUCGGCAAACUUGAAGCAGGCACACAAACACACACGGUUGGGAUUUGGGAACACAGCUAGGUAGCGAUGGCAUCCAACAAGUCCUCCAUAGCUUCCCCUGCUCUCAUGUUCCUAGCCGUGGCAGCACUCAUAUUGGCCACUUCUGUGCGGGCCCAGACACCCGCUCCUACGCCGGCACCGACUCCAGCUCCAGCGCCGGUACCGGCCCCUACACCUACGCCUACUCCAGCACCAACCCCGACUCCGACGCCUGCACCGACGCCAGCACCCACUCCAGCUCCUACGCCGGCACCGACUCCAGCUCCAGCGCCGGUACCGGCCCCUACACCUACGCCUACUCCAGCACCAACCCCGGCUCCGACGCCUGCACCGACUCCAGCACCAACUCCAGCUCCGACGCCAGCUCCGACGCCAGCACCCACUCCAGCUCCGACGCCAGCACCUGUGCCCACGCCUGCCCCGGCACCAUCCCAAGGUCCUUGUCCUUCUGGCUUCCCUAACCUCGCCGCGCUUGUAUUAGCGAAGCCGGUGUACCUUAGACGCGGUAUGGUCCUGACUCUCUUCCCUAAGCCGGUCCCCCAAGGCACCAGCACCAAAGUAUGCGUGUGCUUUCCCUCUACUAACAUCACCAUCGUCGGCCUCGUCAAGCCCAACUGGGCUGGCCCCUACACAUGCGUGCGUGGGCAGAGCCUGAACGUACUUCCAUGAGAAUGCGUACGCACGACCCAAAUGUGCCGCAUGUAUAUGCAUGCGAUCAUGUCCGCGUGCGUCUAAUUAACUACUCGUAUACGUACUAUAUACAUAUAUACACUAUAGAAUAACGAGCUCAUCCUGCUGUAUGCGAAUGCAUGCGCCGUAUCUGCAUGCGGAUGAGAUUGAGAUCCAUCUACAGAUGCAUGUAACGUGUGUGAAAUGCAUGUUCGUGUAAUCCUGUUGUGUUUUGUACGUGUGCUCACCAAAUACAUAUAUUUAUUGGAAGAAUCUAUAUUGAUUAAAUGCUUUCAUUAUUACUACUCCUGUCAAGUAUUUUUCACGCUACUACGUGUCCUGCAGUUGUUAUACAUGUUCGAAUUCGAUCAUAAGAUGAUAUGCAACAUAAAGAUCGAUGUACUACUCAAUGAUAUGCAACAUACGAACAUAAGAUGAUAUGCAACAUAAAGAUCGAUGUGCUACUCAAUGAUAUGCAACAUAAAGAUGGAUGCACUUCAUACUGCUACUUCCAUAUCGAAAUAUUUAUCGCUGUUGACUUUUCAUUACAAUAUUUGACCAUUCAUCUUACUAAAAAAUUUAAUGCAAAUAUAAAAAAGAUCAGUCAUGCUUACCAAUCCCGGUUCCAGCAAGACUCCAUUCAGAAAAUGAUUCUUGGGUCCUACUCGGGUUUGGAAAAAUAAGAACAUUAACAUUUAUUGCCACACUCCAACCAGAAACAAAAAAAAAUAGUAUCCAAGAUAUCCACUUGGAUGAGAACCCUUCUAUUUGAAGUGUUUGUAGUAGGAACGGCCAUCUCGCUUUAUCGUAAGCCCUUUCAAAAUCAAUUUUUAUAAAAUAACCCACUUUGUUUCCUUCAACAUAGCUCAUCAUGAACAUGGUCUCAUGCAAGAUGACGACUCCUUCAUAUACGUCCUUGCUUAAAAGUCGUUUGAGUUGGGAUAAUAUGAUCCACAACUGAACUUGUUCUAAAACAGGCCGCUUUAGUGAAGAUUUUAAAAAAAUCACUUUGCGCAGACAGUCGACCUAUAUUCCUGAAUUUGAUUUGCUUCUUGGAAUUUCAGGAUCAGCGUUAUAACUCCAAAGUUGAGGCUGAAGAGACACUAAUAGAGAACUCACCUUCCAUCCACCCCUUUUGUCUCGGUUUAAAUUUGACCCGUGACUAAAGGUUCAUCAACCGGGACUAAAACUCAGCCACUGGUGGGGGGCUCACCAACGGGGACUAAAGAGCCCCUUUAGUCCCGGUUGUAAAGGCCAGUGGUCUGGAGGGGCCUUUUGUCCCGGUUGAUGAACCUUUAGUCACGGGUCAAAUUUAAACCGAGACAAAAGGGGUGGAUGGAAGGUGAGUUCUCUAUUAGUGUCUCUUCAGCCUCAACUUUGGAGUUAUAACGCUGAUCCUGAAAUUCCAAGAAGCAAAUCAAAUUCAGGAAUAUAGGUCGACUGUCUGCGCAAAGUGAUUUGUUUAAAUCUCACUAGAGCGUCUUGUUUUAGAACAAGUCCAGUUGUGGAUCAUAUUAUCCCAAGCUUCAAACGACUUUUAAGNNNNNNNNNNNNNNNNNNNNNNNNNNNNNNNNNNNNNNNNNNNNNNNNNNNNNNNNNNNNNNNNNNNNNNNNNNNNNNNNNNNNNNNNNNNNNNNNNNNNUUUCCAACCGGGACAAAAGGGUCCUUCAGUCCGGGUUGGUGCUUCCAACCGGGACAAAAGGGUCCCUACCCUCAUUCCAUGCGCCCCCCUCCACCUCCUCUCUCUCUCUCUCUCUCUCUCUCAUGCUCCUUAUCUCCUGCACCCUCCCUCUGCGCCCCUGGCCUCCCAUUCUCAUGCGCCUGAUCUCCUACGACCUCCCACUCCCGCCGCCGCCACCCCCUCCCCGUCCCUCCCGGCGCCGCCCCCCUCCCCUCCCUCUCCCACCGCCGCCUCCUCCUCCCCCUCCCUCUCCUGAAGCCGCCCCCUCCCCUUCCCCCUCUGCUCGCCCCUCAUUGGCAGUGAGGAGCGGCAACGGGGUGAGGUGCAGGGUAGCGUAGUAAGAGAUGAGUCAGGUGGCGAGGUGCGGCGGCGGCGAGCUCGGUGGCCAAGAGGAAGUCAGGUGUUGUGGUGUUUGAGUUCUUGCUUUGGCUUUGUAUCUUUUUUUUUUGCAGGAUUACAUCCCCACUGUGGUGGCGGUGGUAGGUGGAUGGGGGUGAGCGGCGGCGGGUGGAUGCAGCGGCGAGUGGAUGCGUCGGGCGGCUGGAGGCGGGGCGGGCGGCGCGGGGUGAGCGGACUUUUUUUAUUUUUUUGAAACGUUUUAGUCCCGGUUGGUAGAAACAACAGGACUACCUAGAACUAAAGAUCCCCUAUUUGUCUAAAAAAUAAAUCCCGGAUCGAUUUUUCGUACAUUUGUGUCCUACCAACUGGGACCUUUCCAUUUUCUAGUAGUGAGAGGUAAAGUUCCUAUAUGUAGGUCAUGAAACAUUUCCAGCAAGUCUUGUUUGACGAUAUCCCAGAACUUUUGAUAAUAAGCCGGGAAACCAUACGAGCCGUGCCAGGUGCUUUGUUAUAUUCCAUUUAAAAAUCUGCAUCUCGAAUCUCCUUUUCUCCUUUUCAAUGAAUGGAUCCGUGAAAAAUUCGUUUUUAGAUGCAGCUAGUCCAUUCCACAACAUCGCCCGCAGUGGAUUAACUUUUGCUUUCUCCUGGAGUAUCGUUGUACGCUGAGAGUUUCAUGCAAAAACAAAUAUUUAAUAGAUUGUGAUAUAUUUAGCGGCUAGCCUGCAAAAUUGCGUGAUAUAUCCUUCUUAUGCCAAAAUCCUUGACCUAAAAGUGAAACUAAAUUUCAACCAAACUAAUAGCUCAAAUGUGAGUAUGACCAAACUAUAUAAUAAUCGCUCGGCACGGUACUUAAGAUCAGCUCUAAUUAUUGUAGAAAACAUAAAUGAUGAUACAUGAUGUGGUUAAGGUCUAACUCUAGAUAUAGGAACAACAAAAUGAAGCUAGUGUCAGUUUUACUAAUAAUGUAACCUCGCACAGUGAGUGAAUAGUGAUAGCGAGAAAAAGAAUAUUGGAGAGAAAGGAGAGAAAAAGAAGACAGGAACCAGGUGGCGACGAAUAGGGCAGUCUCAAUGCACAAUUUCAUCACAUUGUUAUACAAGGCUGCAAACUUGGUAACCGUGCCUGCCACGUUUCAUGGGGAUGAAACUCCUCUCUUAUUUCAUGAAACUCCAUCCCCUCUCUCCUCAUAAAAAUCUUGCCAAGUCAGCAAAAUUGUUGAUGUGGCAUAGAAUAAUGGUGAUGAAACUUUUUAUGAAACUUCCACGGCCUAACAACAGCUCCCAUGCACGCACGUCAUCAGCUGUACAUCUCAUUUUGAUGUAUGCUGCCGAGAUAAGGUCGCAGUACGACUGCUGCAAAGUCUACAGGGUUCCACGUGCCCCAUCUACCGAUGAUGCAACGAGCCCCUAGGUGUGUGCAAGGCCUUGGUCAAACGAUCGAGGGAGCUAGAACUAGCUAAGGUAUGAUCAUGAUGCCAUGGUCAUGGAUGUGCACUCACUACGCUUACAGAGUACAGUGUACUAAUGCUAUUCUGUCAAGAGUUAGGCGCUAGCUUCAUGACUCCAAGAAGCAAUCAAGCAAUCACCAUGCCCGGCUGGCUAGUGAUAGAGAGAGCAGAUCGAUCUAGUUUUCAUUACACGACGCACGUGUUUGCGCUACUACUAGUAUAGAAAUUAAACCCCUUUAUUCACGCACUUUUCACUGGCCUUGCUCCGAGGGUACGGUGGUGAUCUCUGUUGAUAUAUGCAAAACGCACGCAAGGUUCUUGCUAUUCUAUGGUGUAUUCUUCUUGUUGCUACUCCAUCCUAGGAACUUGACCGCGCAAACCUGUUCCAUAUUUAGGACAAACUAAUAAUUACUUCAAAAAUCAACUAAAGUGCUUUGUCGUUAUAAACGUCAUAUAUGUAGGAACAGAGCUAGUAAAGCGGAGCUAGCCUUUGCCGUUGGGGCCAAGCGACCGCGAUAAACUCUGUAAAACAAAUGGAAAGCAACUGAUCAUCAUCUAUCUAUUAUCUUAAUAUAAUAGUGUUAAAAGAAGGCACCACACGUUCGCUAAGAGGACUUAGAAAUCAGCAUAUUAAUUGAAAAAAGAGAAAAAAUAUACACCGUUGGCUUUUAUGAAGAUCUAAUGGUCUAGAUAAGCCAAAUAGUCAAUAUCUAAUUCGGAAUUAAAAUAUGAAGAAUAAGUAGUUUGAUUCCUAUAUACGGAGUGUCUGAUUUUUGAUGAUCUAAUGGAUAAGAUUUUAACUAGAGAGUCCGUGUAGAAAUACAGCUAUAUAUUUGAUUUCUUUUCAUCUCAUCCAUAUCUCUUGCGCUCCAUUAUUGCUAGAAGUUUUAUUAGGAAGGGAUAAUUAAAGACGGUCGUAAGCCCUAGAAAUAAUAGCAAUAGCACACAAGAGUGCUUCCUGUUCCCAAUGAGUCCGUACGUAGUUUGCAGUGGAAGCACAAAAUUUUCCUCUCUAAUUCCCUAUUGUUUCAGCUCCUACAGAGCUUUGAGUGAGGUUUGCCUUAUGCAACGUUCACGAUAGAUGGACUCCUGGCCCGUGAGGAGUUCGCGGAGUUCAUCCAGAAGCAGACUAUGGACUCCCCAUGCUCCACAAGCCUGAAGCUUGACAAAACACUGUUGGGCGCGCCCCGUGCUGGCGAUGGCGACCAAGCGGGUGACUGAGGGCAUCCCCAGCAUGGGCGAGGUGGUGAGCAAGCUAGCUGUCACCCUGAGCGUUGUGCUGGUGCAAAAAUUCAUCGAGGGCGUCAAGUGACUUGAAAGCCUAAUCCGCGUGACUCCAUGAUGGCCAAGCUGAAUUAAGUGUGAAGUGCUAAUGUAUGCAUGCCACCACAAAUAAACAACAAUCUCUAAAUGGCGCAUUGUGUUUCGAUGGACGAUGGCGCGAGCUCUCGAACUAGAAGCUCAAAAAUCGGAUCAAGCGAGAUGAAGAACCUGACUACCUGAGUAAUCUCUUGUACAUGGUCAAAUGUUACUCCAGCCAACGGCCGGUUCAACUAUAUUGUGGCUCGACCGGCGACUUGGUAAGGAGCGAUGUGCAGCUCACCUAGGUAGCCGAUCAUGGUUUGCAUUUGUGUGUGUGGCCGCAACUAAGUAGGAUUGUACGAAGACAAUGCAAUGCGAACUCUUAGCAACUUAUUGAUGACCGCGUAGACCUGUACUACCUCCCUCCAUAUUCGAGACAAACUAAUUACUUCUAAAAUCAACUAAAGUGCUAGCUUGUCAUCGUAAUAAACGUCAUAUAUUUAAGAACAUAGCUAGCAAGCGGAGCUAAGUAGCCUUUGCCGUUGGGGUCGAUUGACCCCAGUAAAACUCUGCAAAACCAAUGGAAAUCAAGCUACUGUUCACCAUUGUUACUGACGACGACGACCCAGCGUGAAAGAGUGAUGACCCCGGUAGCGGGCUUCGCUCCUGUUAAUAGUACGUAAUCAUCUGGUGUAAAACUAGCACCUGUCAGCAUAGUCUUUUGUACCUGUUGCAAGUUGCAAGUGUCCAAGUCCACAAGCGUACGCUAACCAUUCGUGGGUACAUACAAGCAAGAAGCCGUAGGCAGGCAAUGCGCGCACUCUUGUGGAUCAUCGUCGUCGCCUAUGUUUCGUGGAGCCGAGGGAUCGGAGAAGCAGCAGCUAGCCAUUGUUGAAACGAUAGAUGAGCUAGAGGAAGCUGCCUAUGGUCGAUGAUGUGCAACCUGGAAUGUCAAGGAGGGCACGUUCCAUGGGUGGAAAAAUUUGGCUUCUCAUUUGUGCGCCGCCCCACGAGCAGUACACGACUGACCUGCUGCUGCGUGCGUGCCCUAGGCGGCUAGGGCGCCAAUCCUGAAACUUCUGCUGCCGAGCAAUCGCCUGCCCUGCCCGCUCCCGCUGGGCGCUGGCCUAUAAGUAGGACGUGUGGCCGAUACGCUUGAAGGCAGAAACACACACGGUUGGGAACAUACAAUAUCCAUCCGCAGGUAGUAGCUAGCGAUGGCAUCCGACAAGUCCAUAGCCGCUUCCCCUGCGCUCGUGUUCCUUGCCGUGGCAGCACUCAUGGUGGCCGCUUCCGUGCGCGCCCAGGCUCCGACGCCUGCGCCCACGCCGGCUCCAGCACCAACUCCGGCUCCGACUCCAGCUCCGGCACCAUCCCAGCCUGCGCCCACGCCGGCUCCAGCACCAACUCCGGCUCCGACUCCUGCUCCGGCACCAUCCCAGAGUCCUUGCCCUCCCGGCUUCUCCAACUCCACCGCGUUUAUUCUAGGGGUGAAGCAGUUCCUUAGACGCGGCAUCCUUCUGUUGGGGCCCUUCCUUGCGCCGGUCAUCCCAGGCACCAGCACCACAAAAUGCUUGUGCUAUUACUCUACCAACAUCACCACCAACGUCCCGCCAUUGUUUGGGACCUUCCCGCUCCCGCCCAUCGUCAGGCCCAACAUCACUGGGCCCAUCGCAUGCGUGCGUGGACCGGCCACCAUUAACUUCUAACUAAUUACUCGGAUAUUAUAUAUAAAUAUAUAAUACUACGAAUAACGAGCUCAUCCUUUAUGUGUGUGCAUGCAUGCGUCGUGUCAGCAUGCAUGCGGAUGAGACUAAUUCGCACGUCACAGUACGCUGCGAUACUACAGGAGGAGAUGAGUUGAGUUGACGAUGUAACGGGGUGACAUUGUUCGUGUUGUGCUGUAAUAUGGCUAUCAGUUUGGCAGACCACUCUAAUCAUCAUUGAUAAUAAUAUUAAGUGGAUCUAUAUUGUUUUAAAAACAUUACUGCCAUUAUAAAAGUGUUACUCCCUCCGUUUCAAAUUA
rnacentral:lncRNA from 1 species